GAUGAACGCUAGCGGCAGGCCUAAUACAUGCAAGUCGAACGGUGCCUUCGGACAUAGUGGCGCACGGGUGCGUAACACGUAUGCAACCUACCUUACAUUGGGGGAUAGCCUUUCGAAAGGGAGAUUAAUACCGCAUAAGACAGUAACUAGGCAUCUAGUAGCUGUUAAAGAUUUAUUGAUGUAAGCUGGGCAUGCGUCCAAUUAGCUAGUUGGUGAGGUAACGGCGCACCAAGGCAAUGAUUGGUAGGGGAACUGAGAGGUCAAUCCCCCACACAGGCACUGAGAUACGGGCCAGACUCCUAUGGGAGGCAGCAGUAGGGAAUAUUGGGCAAUGGACGCAAGUCUGACCCAGCCAGGCCGCGUGAAGGAUGAAGGCGUUAUGCGUUGUAAACUGCUUUUAUACAGGAAGAAACGACUCUUGCGAGAGGCAUUGACGGUACUGUAUGAAUAAGCACCGGCUAACUCCGUGCCAGCCGCCGCCGUAAUAC
rnacentral:rRNA from 1 species